rnacentral:rRNA from 1 species
GAUCCUGGCUCAGGAUGAACGCUAGCUACAGGCUUAACACAUGCAAGUCGAGGGGCAUCAGUUUGGUUUGCUUGCAAACCAAAGCUGGCGACCGGCGCACGGGUGAGUAACACGUAUCCAACCUGCCCCAUACUCGGGGAUAGCCUUUCGAAAGAAAGAUUAAUAUCCGAUAGCAUAUAUUUCCCGCAUGGGUUUUAUAUUAAAGAAAUUCGGUAUGAGAUGGGGAUGCGUUCCAUUAGUUUGUUGGCGGGG